rnacentral:rRNA from 1 species
GGGGAAUUUUCCGCAAUGGGCGAAAGCCUGACGGAGCAAGACCGCGUGAGGGAGGAAGGCUCUUGGGUUGUAAACCUCUUUUCUUGGGGAAGAACAAAAUGACGGUACCCAAGGAAUCAGCAUCGGCUAACUCCGUGCCAGCAGCCGCGGUAAUACGGAGGAUGCAAGCGUUAUCCGGAAUUAUUGGGCGUAAAGCGUCCGCAGGUGGCACUUCAAGUCUGCUGUCAAAGACCGGGGCUUAACCCUGGAGAGGCAGUGGAAACUGAAGCGCUAGAGUGUCGUAGGGGUAGAGGGAAUUCCUGGUGUAGCGGUGAAAUGCGUAGAGAUCAGGAAGAACACCGGUGGCGAAGGCGCUCUACUAGGCCGCAACUGACACUGAGGGACGAAAGCUAGGGGAGCGAAUGGGAUUAGAUACCCCAGUAGUC